rnacentral:misc_RNA from 1 species
GUAGGUGAACCUGCGGAAGGAUCAUUACAGUAGUCGCCUAGGUGCCGCAAGGCUCCUAGGCAACCUACCACCCUUUGUUUAUUACACUUUGUUGCUUUGGCAGACCUGCCCUCGGGCUGCUGGCUCCGGCCGGCGAGCGUCUGCCAGAGGACCUAAACUCUGUUUGUCUAUACUGUCUGAGUACUAUAUAAUAGUUAAAACUUUCAACAACGGAUCUCUUGGUUCUG